rnacentral:rRNA from 1 species
GAUGAACGCUAGCUACAGGCUUAACACAUGCAAGUCGAGGGGCAUCAGGAAGAAAGCUUGCUUUCUUUGCUGGCGACCGGCGCACGGGUGAGUAGCACGUAUCCAACCUGCCCUUUACUCGGGGAUAGCCUUUCGAAAGAAAGAUUAAUACCCGAUAGCAUAAUGAUUCCGCAUGGUUUCAUUAUUAAAGGAUUCCGGUAAAGAUGGGAUGCGUUCCAUUAGGUUGUUGUGAGUAACGCCACCAAGCCUUCGAUGGAUAGGGGUUCUGAGAGGAAGGUCCCCCACAUUGGAACUGAGACACGGUCCAAACUCCUACGGGAGGCAGCAGUGAGGAAUAUUGGUCAAUGGGCGCUAGCCUGAACCAGCCAAAGUAGCGUGAAGGAUGAAGGCUCUAUGGGUCGUAAACUUCUUUUAUAAUAAGAAUAAAGUGCAGUAUGUACACUGUUUUGUAUGUAUUAUAUGAAUAAGGGAUCGGCUAACUCCGUGCCAGCA